GUGCUCACUUCGGCAGCACAUAUACUAAAAUUAGAACAAGAAGCAUGAGAUUAGUAUGGCCCCUGCACAAGGACAACACACAGAUUCGUGAAGCGUUACAUGUUUGU